UCUCUUUCUCUCUUCAUCGCCAUUCAUCAUCAUCAUCAAAUCUCAGGAUCUUGGAGGUGGCUCUUCUCUUUCGUAACUACCUUCUAGACUAUGAUUUCCAAUCUUCGAUCUCUCGUAGAGGAUUGCAAGAGCUGCCGAGUCCACGAGUUCUUCUCCAUCAGUAGCUUCCGGUGAUAAAACCCUAAUCCAUGAUGAUGAAUUCACUCUAACCAAGGUCCAGUCCGGUUCAAAGACAUCACGUAACAGUUAGCACUCUUCGAUCAGUUUCUUUUUUGUUGAUUUGGAUUCAAAUUCGAACUCUUGAGCUCUCGGUAUUGCAGAGAACGAUAUGGUGCUUUUUGCGACUUCACUUUCCUAGUAUUCUGAGUUUCAAUGUCUUCGGAGGCGUCUUCAAUCAACAACAAAAGCACCAGGUGAUUUUUUCAUUACAUUUUACAAAAUUAUGAGCUACUCGUUUUCAAUCUAAGAUUAACGUUGGAGGACUAUCCAGCAAAUGGAUCAAUUAAUCAUGUAAUUAUUCUAUCUUAGUAACAUAGAACUUUUACUCUU